rnacentral:rRNA from 1 species
AACGAACGCUGGCGGCAUGCCUAACACAUGCAAGUCGAACGAGACCUUCGGGUCUAGUGGCGCACGGGUGCGUAACGCGUGGGAACCUGCCCGUAGGUUCGGAAUAACUCCCCGAAAGGGGUGCUAAUACCGGAUAAUGUCUUCGGACCAAAGAUUUAUCGCCUUUGGAUGGGCCCGCGUUGGUUUAGCUAGUUGGUAGGGUAAAAGCCUACCAAGGCGACGAUCCAUAGCUGGUCUGAGAGGAUGAUCAGCCACACUGGGACUGAGACACGGCCCAGACUCCUACGGGAGGCAGCAGUGGGGAAUAUUGGACAAUGGGCGAAAGCCUGAUCCAGCAACGCCGCGUGAGUGAUGAAGGCCUUAGGGUUGUAAAGCUCUUUUACCCGGGAUGAUAAUGACAGUACCGGGAGAAUAAGCCCCGGCUAACUCCGUG